rnacentral:rRNA from 1 species
UAGUCAUAUGCUUGUCUCAAAGAUUAAGCCAUGCAUGUCUAAGUAUAUGCAAUUAUACAGCGAAACUGCGAAUGGCUCAUUAUAUAAGUUAUCGUUUAUUUGAUAGUACCUUACUACUUGGAUAACCGUGGUAAUUCUAGAGCUAAUACAUGCUAAAAAUCCCGACUUCGGAAGGGAUGUAUUUAUUAGAUUAAAAACCAAUGCCCUCUGGGCUCUCCGGUGAUUCAUGAUAACUUCUCGAAUCGCAUGGCCUUGCGCCGGCGAUGGUUCAUUCAAAUUUCUUCCCUAUCAACUUUCGAUGUUUGGGUAUUGGCCAAACAUGGUCGCAACGGGUAACGGAGGGUUAGGGCUCGACCCCGGAGAAGGAGCCUGAGAAACGGCUACUACAUCCAAGGAAGGCAGCAGGCGCGCAAAUUACCCAAUCCCGACACGGGGAGGUAGUGACAAUAAAUACUGAUACAGGGCUCUUUCGGGUCUUGUAAUUGGAAUGAGUACAAUUUAAAUCCCUUAACGAGGAACAAUU